AUUGAACGCUGGCGGCAGGCUUAACACAUGCAAGUCGAGCGAGCGGCGGACGGGUGAGUAAUGUCUGGGCAACUGCCUGAUGGAGGGGGAUAACUACUGGAAACGGUAGCUAAUACCGCAUACCAUCAGAUGUGCCCAGAUGGGAUUAGCUAGUAGGUGGGUUAAUGGCUCACCUAGGCGACGAUCCCUAGCUGGUCUGAGUGGAUGACCGGCCACACGGGAACGGAGACGCGGGCCAGAGUACUACGGGAGGCAGCAGUGGGGAAUAUUGCACAAUGGGCGCAAGCCUGAUGCAGCCAUGCCGCGUGUGUGAAGAAGGCCUUCGGGUUGUAAAGAACGUUCAGCGAGGAUGCGUUACUCGCAGAAGAAGCACCGGCUAACUCCGUGCCAGCAGCCGCGGUAAUAC
rnacentral:rRNA from 1 species